GUAGGGAAUAUUGGACAAUGGGCGAAAGCCUGAUCCAGCAAUGCCGCGUGAGUGAUGAAGGCCUUAGGGUUGUAAAGCUCUUUUACCAGGGAUGAUAAUGACAGUACCUGGAGAAUAAGCAUCGGCUAACUCCGUGCCAGCAGCCGCGGUAAUACGGAGGAUGCGAGUGUUAUCCGGAUUUAUUGGGUUUAAAGGGUGCGUAGGCGGGCUAUUAAGUCAGCUGUUAAAGGACCAUGCUCAGCAUGGGAAAUGCAGUUGAAACUGAGAGCCUAGAGAGUACAUAAGGCAGUUGGAAUUUGUGGUGUAGCGGUGAAAUGCAUAGAUAUCACGAAGAACACCGAUAGCGAAAGCAAGCUGCCGGGGUGCGUCUGACGCUGAGGCACGAAAGUGUGGGAAUCGAACAGGAUUAGAUACCCCGGUAGUCC
rnacentral:rRNA from 1 species